UUUGAAAUCUGGCUUCGGCCCGAGUUGUAAUUUGCAGAGGAUGUUUCUGGCGCGGUGCCUUCCGAGUUCUCUGGAACGGGACGCCACAGAGGGUGAGAGCCCCGUAUGGUUGGACACCAAGCCUGUGUGAAACUCCUUCGACGAGUCGAGUAGUUUGGGAAUGCUGCUCAAAAUGGGAGGUAAAUCUCUUCUAAAGCUAAAUACCGGCCAGAGACCGAUAGCGCACAAGUAGAGUGAUCGAAAGAUGAAAAGCACCUUGAAAAGGGGGUUAAACAGUACGUGAAAUUGUUGAAAGGGAAGCGCUUGUGACCAGACUUGCGCCGGGCGGCUCAUCCGGGGUUCUCCCCGGUGCACUCCGCCCGGCUCAGGCCAGCAUCGGUUCUCGUUGGGGGAUAAGAACGGCAGGAACGUGGCCCUCCUUCGGGUGGGUGUUAUAGCCUGCCGUACGAUAUCCUGACGGGGACCGAGGUUCGCGCUCCGCAAGGAUGCUGGCGUAAUGGUCAUCAGCGACCCGUCUUGAAACACGGACCAAGGAGUCGUCCAUUAGAGCGAGCGUUUGGGUGUUAAACCCGCACGCGUAA
rnacentral:rRNA from 1 species